CAAGAGCGUAUAUUAAAGUUGCUGCGGUUAAAAAGCUCGUAGUUGGAUUUCAGUCUAGGAAGGUUAACUCGCCGAAAGGUUGUACGUUGACUUUCCUCAGACUUCGUCAGAAGCUCGUGCUGCACUUAACUGUGUGGUACGAUGUUCUGACCUUUUACCUUGAGGAAAGUAGAGUGUUUCAGGCAGGCUACCCAGCUUGAAUACAUUAGCAUGGAAUAAUGAAAUGGAUCUCGGUUCGAUUUCGUUGGUUCUAGAGCUGAGGUGAUGAUCAAUAGGAACAGGCGUAGGUAUUCGUACUUGAGAGUGAGGAGUGAAAUCCGGUGAUCUCUUAAAGACGAUCCGAGGCGAAAGCAUUUGUCAAGGAUGUUUUCAUUGA
rnacentral:rRNA from 1 species